rnacentral:rRNA from 1 species
UGGGGAAUUUUGCACAAUGGAGGGAACUCUGAUGCAGCGACGCCGCGUGAACGAAGAAGGCUUUCGAGUCGUAAAGUUCUUUUAUAUGGGAAGAUAAUGACGGUACCAUAAGAAAAAGCCCCGGCUAACUACGUGCCAGCAGCCGCGGUAAUACGUAGGGGGCUAGCGUUGUCCGGAAUCACUGGGCGUAAAGGGUUCGCAGGCGGAAAUGCAAGUCAGGUGUAAAAGGCAGUAGCUUAACUACUGUAAGCAUUUGAAACUGCAUAUCUUGAGAAGAGUAGAGGUAAGUGGAAUUUUUAGUGUAGCGGUGAAAUGCGUAGAUAUUAAAAAGAAUUCCGGUGGCGAAGGCGACUUACUGGGCUCAUUCUGACGCUGAGGAACGAAAGCGUGGGUAGCAAAAAGG